rnacentral:lncRNA from 1 species
GUUCAUUGAUGUUAUAAAGAACUUCAACAAGAGUUUCAGAGAAAGGCCUACCAUUAACAACAGCUUCUUGUGCUCUCCUCACUUUAGCAGCAGCAACAAGCUUCAUAGCCUCAGUGAUCUUCUGCGUGUUCUUCACUGAUUGAAUACGAGUCCUAAGCUCACGAAGACCACAGUGAAUUGGGGUCACAGAAGUGGAUCUUGAAGGGUUGUUUGCAGCAGGUGAGCUUGGAAGCUGAAAAGGGUUGAGAGAAGAGCGAAAGGAAAGUGAAGUGGUGUCAGAAAGAGAAGGUUUUGAGGACACCAACAUUGUCAGAUUUGAGCAAGACAUUGUGGUGAUGAACUUGUUGGGGCUCUAGCUAGGUAACCACGAGA